UNUGACUUGAGUGCAGAAGGGGAGAGUGGAAUUCCAUGUGUAGCGGUGAAAUGCGUAGAUAUAUGGAGGANCACCAGUGGCGAAAGCGGCUCUCUGGUCUGUCACUGACGCUGAGGCUCGAAAGCGUGGGUAGCGAACAGGAUUAGAUACCCUGGUAGUNCACGCCGUAAACGAUGAGUGCUAGGUGUUAGGCCCUUUCCGGGGCUUAGUGCCGGAGCUAACGCAAUAAGCACUCCGCCUGGGGAGUACGACCGCAAGGUUGAAACUCAAAGGAAUUGACGGGGGCCCGCACAAGCGGUGGAGCAUGUGGUUUAAUUCGAAGCAACGCGAAGAACCUUACCAGGUCUUGACAUCCCGAUGCUAUUCUUAGAGAUAGGAAGUUACUUCGGUACAUCGGAGACAGGUGGUGCAUGGUUGUCGUCAGCUCGUGUCGUGAGAUGUUGGGUUNNNNNNNNNNNACGAGCGCAACCCUUAUUGUUAGUUGCCAUCAUUAAGUUGGGCACUCUAGCGAGACUGCCGGUAAUAAACCGGAGGAAGGUGGGGAUGACGUCAAAUCAUCAUGCCCCUUAUGACCUGGGCUACACACGUGCUACAAUGGUCGGUACAACGAGUUGCGAGCCGGUGACGGCAAGCUAAUCUCUGAAAGCCGAUCUCAGUUCGGAUUGGAGGCUGCAACUCGCCUCCAUGAAGUCGGAAUCGCUAGUAAUCGCGGAUCAGCACGCCGCGGUGAAUACGUUCCCGGGCCUUG
rnacentral:rRNA from 1 species